AAUGAACGUUGGCGGCGUGGAUUAGGCAUGCAAGUCGAGGGAGAACCCCGCAAGGGGGGAAACCGGCGAACGGGGUAGGACAACAUCGGUAACGUACCCUCUGGACGGGGAUAGCGGCGGGAAACUGCCGGUAAUACCCGAUGAUCUGACGAGCUUGUGAUGCUCGUCAGCAAAGGUGUGAUUCCACCAGGGGAGCGGCUGAUGCGCUAUUAGCUAGUUGGCGGGGUGACGGCCCACCAAGGCGACGAUGGCUAGGGGGUGUGAGAGCGUGGCCCCCACCACUGGCACUGAGACACUGGCCAGACACCUACGGGUGGCUGCAGUCGAGAAUCUUCGGCAAUGGGCGAAAGCCUGACCGAGCGACGCCGCGUGCGGGAUGAAGGUCUUCGGAUUGUAAACCGCUGUCGGAGGGGAUGAAAUGCAGGUGGGUUCUCCCAUCUGUUUGACAGAGCCUCGGAGGAAGCACGGGCUAAGUUCGUGC
rnacentral:rRNA from 1 species